rnacentral:rRNA from 1 species
GUGCCAGCCGCCGCGGUAAUACGAAGGGGGCUAGCGUUGCUCGGAAUGACUGGGCGUAAAGGGCGCGUAGGCGGCGGGAUUUGUCGGGCGUGAAAUUCCUGGGCUCAACCUGGGGGCUGCGUUCGAGACGGUCUUGCUAGAGGUCAGAAGAGGCUCGUGGAAUUCCCAGUGUAGAGGUGAAAUUCGUAGAUAUUGGGAAGAACACCGGUGGCGAAGGCGGCGAGCUGGUCUGAUACUGACGCUGAGGCGCGACAGCGUGGGGAGCAAACAGGAUUAGAAACCCGCGUAGUCC